GAGCUAACGCAUUAAGCACUCCGCCUGGGGAGUACGACCGCAAGGUUGAAACUCAAAGGAAUUGACGGGGGCCCGCACAAGCGGUGGAGCAUGUGGUUUAAUUCGAAGCUACGCGAAGAACCUUACCAGGUCUUGACAUCUUGCGCCAACCCUAGAGAUAGGGCGUUUCCUUCGGGAACGCAAUGACAGGUGGUGCAUGGUCGUCGUCAGCUCGUGUCGUGAGAUGUUGGGUUAAGUCCCGCAACGAGCGCAACCCUUGUUACUAGUUGCCAGCAUUAAGUUGGGCACUCUAGUGAGACUGCCGGUGACAAACCGGAGGAAGGUGGGGACGACGUCAGAUCAUCAUGCCCCUUAUGACCUGGGCUACACACGUGCUACAAUGGACGGUACAACGAGUCGCGAACUCGCGAGGGCAAGCAAAUCUCUUAAAACCGUUCUCAGUUCGGACUGCAGGCUGCAACUCGCCUGCACGAAGUC
rnacentral:rRNA from 2 species